CAUGCUGGUGUCAACCCUCACAUGGAAUGACCAGAGCAGAGAUGUGGCCUCAUAACUUUCUUCAGCUAUGUGAAACUUAACUCAUGGGUUAAGCUGAGGGUGCCUGCCUUUCCCUGCUGCCUACUCCUAAGUUUCAGAUAGGUGAUGCUAAGAGCAGCAAAUCCUUCUCCUGGCAAGUAGUAGCUCUUACUUUGCAAACAAGCAUUUGUAUACCCCAGGGCAGCCCUUGGGCAACCAUCUUUUCACCCCAAUGACCAGCUGGGCUUACUGAAGACAACUCAGGCAGGACACAAUAAAAACAGCUUAGCCCUCACUCUGCUCUGGCAGCCCUCUUGGGGGUCAGGCUCUAUGUAGGCAGCUGAAUCAGCCUUAGAAAUAAAGAAACUGGAAAGCACUCAAGAGGCACUAUCUGCUCUUCUGAAUGGAAAAUAAAGACCUUAUUCCCAGGAUGCCAGAUGGAUGGAAAAAUGGAUACAGACAUUAAGAACUCCAAAUGGGAAGAAGUUCAUCAAGGGAAGAUGAGCAUCCACUUGUUUGCCCACCACAGAUGCUGCAAUGGCGUGUCCUGGUGAAGAAGUUGUGUGGAGUCAUGGCUGGCAGUCUGCAUAUGGGCACCACCCCAGCCAAGGCACCAGAAACCAGGUGGGUUAGCCGUGCUGUUAUACAACUGGUGCUCCUCCAAGGAGGAUUCAGAGAGCCUUUGGUGGGGGACACAGCAGGAGAGAGCUUUGCAAAAGGCCUUAUGCAAAAAUACAGCUGGAGCACAGGGCAUCCAAGAGCCCUCAAUGAACUUCACUUGGCCUUUAAGUACACAUGGAGAUCAGUGCCUUGAUGGCAACCCCAAAAUAAAAGGCAAGUGGUGUUUUUUAUAUGUGCAGCUUAGGUUAUUUUCCCCAUGGAUUCAUUUUCAGCCAGCAAUACCCAAGUGACUGCUCAGGAAAGCUUUCUGCCCCACCUACCUCAAACAUUCUAGCUUCAUUUCAGUCAUAAGUGUAAGCAUUUCCUCCAGUUAUAUGAGUUCA